CUUUGUGUGUGUGCCUGCUAGUGAGUGAGCGUGUGUAUGUGUGUGUGCUAGUGAGGGAGCUUGGAGCUUGUGUGUGUGUGCACAUCUGCUAGUGAGGGAGUGUGUGUCUUUGCGUGUGUGCCUGCUAGUGAGUAAACUUCUGUGUGUGUGUGUGUGUGUGCUAGUGAGUGAGCUUCUGUGUGUGUGCAUCUGCUAGUGAGUGAGCUUUUGUGUGUGUGUGUGUGUGUGUGUG